UUUUAGUUGGAUUUUCCGCACCUUUUUACCCUCUAUGUGUAUACACCACAACCACAGAACCUCUCUCUCAACAAACCUCACCACCGCAAAUCAAUUACGACGAUCAAACCUCACGACCAUCCAUCCUCAGUACCGUCGGUCCCCGUACGCCGCAAAUCAGCACCGCCACCACCGCUAACAGGCAAGACGGGCAUCAUCUAGGAGAGAAGUCCUUCAUACUGAUUUUCUUACACCACCCAUCUUGAAUGAAUCUAUUAUAGUAUUGGGAAAGUUAGCUGACAUCAAAGCAGUGGCUCGGGAAGGAUACCCACAAGUUAAUUGAAUCAACAAUUUCUGUUGGAUUUUGUUUCAGUAAAUAUUUUCCACACUUAUACGUUAAAUAUCUUUCAAGUCUUUCAGGCUAAGAGUUGUCAUCUUUCAGUUGGACAUCUGCAAGCAUUUACAACCGAUCUAGAUAUUGUUGCGGCAUUAAGGCAAAUCAUUAAAUUAUCACAGGAAACUUUAGGUUUCACCCUUGUUCUCAUGGUGACUUCCUUGGCACAAUUCUUGGUACGGGGAUUGCUAGGGAGAAGUUGGGAGAUAUUAUCUUGCAGGGAGAAAGGGGAGCUCAGGUUCUUAUUGUUUUAGAACUUGUUGACUUCAUCACAGCAGCAUUGGACAAGUUCCAAUUCAAUAAUUAAGAAGGAUUGGAACUUGUGGAUUGAUGCUGGAAAGAAUGUGGUGAGGAGAGAGAAUAUAGAGGCCGCCAUGAGGAGGGUGAUGGAUGGCGGUGAUGAUGACAGAGAAGGCUAAAGUGCUAGGAGAGAUGACAUUGAAAACUGUUAAAGGAGGUGGAUCAUCUCAUAGAAAUUUGACAGUGUUGAUUGAAGAGCUUGAGCAGCUAUGAAAUCAAAGGGCUAAGGAUCAUUGAGGGUUAUUACAUUGUCUAUGUCUCUGUUUUUCACUGCUUAUUACAUUUUGUUGAAAUAAGGCAUUCGAAUGGCUUUUAAUAGUUAAAUUUUGUAUAUGGUUGGAAAUUGAAUGCUACAGAUUGUGGAGAAAUAUUUUUAUUGAAUGGUCGAGAAUUGAAUGAAUGAAUGAAUGGAUGAAUAAUUUUGUAUA